rnacentral:rRNA from 1 species
GCGGUCUGUCGCGUCUGCUGUGAAAACUGGAGGCUCAACCUCCAGCCUGCAGUGGGUACGGGCAGACUAGAGUGCGGUAGGGGAGAUUGGAAUUCCUGGUGUAGCGGUGGAAUGCGCAGAUAUCAGGAGGAACACCGAUGGCGAAGGCAGAUCUCUGGGCCGUAACUGACGCUGAGGAGCGAAAGGGUGGGGAGCAAACAGGCUUAGAUACCCUGGUAGUCCACCCCGUAAACGUUGGGAACUAGUUGUGGGGUCCUUUCCACGGAUUCCGUGACGCAGCUAACGCAUUAAGUUCCCCGCCUGGGGAGUACGGCCGCAAGGCUAAAACUCAAAGGAAUUGACGGGGACCCGCACAAGCGGCGGAGCAUGCGGAUUAAUUCGAUGCAACGCGAAGAACCUUACCAAGGCUUGACAUACACGAGAACGGGCCAGAAAUGGUCAACUCUUUGGACACUCGUGAACAGGUGGUGCAUGGUUGUCGUCAGCUCGUGUCGUGAGAUGUUGGGUUAAGUCCCGCAACGAGCGCAACCCUCGUUCUAUGUUGCCAGCACGUAAUGGUGGGAACUCAUGGGAUACUGCCGGGGUCAACUCGGAGGAAGGUGGGGAUGACGUCAAAUCAUCAUGCCCCUUAUGUCUUGGGCUUCACGCAUGCUACAAUGGCCGGUACAAAGGGCUGCGAUACCGUAAGGUGGAGCGAAUCCCAAAAAGCCGGUCCCAGUUCGGAUUGAGGUCUGCAACUCGACCUCAUGAAGUCGGAGUCGCUAGUAAUCGCAGAUCAGCAACGCUGCGGUGAAUACGUUCCCGGGUCUUGUACACACCGCCCGUCAAGUCAUGAAAGUCGGUAACACCUGAAGCCGGUGGCCUAACCCUUG